CCGACCAGACGACUAGUAUCCUCGCCUUCCUCUUCCUCCCGUCCCCCACCCGCGCGUGCCGCGACCUCGCCGAAACCCUAAACCUAGGUGAUCUCGCCGGAGAGACGGAGGGAUGGGCAAGAAGAAGAAGCGCGUGGAGAAGGUCUUCUGCUACUACUGCGACCGCGAGUUCGACGACGAGAAGAUUCUAGUGCAGCACCAGAAGGCCAAGCACUUCAAGUGCCACGUCUGCCAUAAGAAGCUCUCCACCGCCUCCGGCAUGGCCAUACACGUCCUACAGGUCCACAAGGAGUCCGUCACCAAGGUUCCUAAUGCGAAGCCUGAUAGGGAAUCAACAGAGAUUGAGAUAUUUGGAAUGCAGGGGAUUCCUCCAGAUGUGCUGGCUGCUCACUAUGGAGAAGAGGAAGAUCCUUCAUCGAAGGUAGCCAAGGUGGAAGUGCCACAGGUAAGGCCUGUUGUUAUACCUAAUCCGCUAGGCAUGGCAUUUCCUCCACGGCCAGCUUAUGGUUUAGCACCUCCAAUCUAUAAUCGCGCACUGAAUCCUUUGAUGGCCCGACCUCCAGUUUGGCCUGCUCCACCAGCACAAGCUUGGUAUCCACAACAAUCAGCAUAUCCACAACAACCAGCUGUUUCGAUUCCUCCAAUGGCUGCUGGGCUGCCACCACAACAGCCACUAUUCCCCAUUCAGAAUGUGCUUACUCCUAUGACAUCAGCACCAGCUAAUGUACUUCAGACAUCAUUUCCUAUGGCCCCUCCUGGAGUACCUUCACCUGUUGCCCCUCAAGUUUCCCAGCUUUUGUUUCCUGUUAACACUUCCGCUGUCAAUGGAGCAGCAAGUUCCCCAUUUGUAGCAUCCGUUGCACCUGGCACCAUACCAGCAACCUCUCCAGCAUCAGUUCCUGCUGCAGGAGUUGGAUAUGGAGUCAAUAACCAAGGCACAGGAGGUUCAGCGGUUGGAUCUCUACCCGCUGUAUCCAAUAAUAAAGUGUCCGGUACCCAACCAGCUACAAAUGAGGUCUAUCUGGUGUGGGGUGAUGAAGCAAUGUCAAUGGAGGAAAGAAGGUUUUCGUUGCCCAAGUAUCAGGUGCAUGAUGAAACUAGCCAGGUAAGUUUUGCUAUUACUGUUUUUACUAUUAUUUGUCUUAAGCAAUGAAGUGCAAAUAUCUUUUAAAGGUCUUAACUGCCAAACCUUUUGUUGUUACUUAAACAAAAAUGUUUGAUUACGCGGUCUGCGCUGAGUGAUAGUGACAGGAUCUUUUGAUGCUUCCAUCCAAUUAAUGCCUUGGUGUAUGCAUGAUAAUUGCAUCAUCUUUGGUGCUGUGCUGGUUUAGGCUUUCAUGCUAAAGCAAUAGGACAAAGUUUAAUAUUAGGCCAUUGCAGCAUUUAAAUGUGUUUCUGCUAUCCAAAACUUAGACUUUGAGGGGUGGUCUUCAUUAUAUAUUCUGUCUCAACUUACUUGGGACAAAAGACUCUGUUGUGGUGGUGGUGGUGGAUUACCUCAGUUUGCUGGUGGUGGUGGAUUACCUCAGUUUGCAUUCACUAACAUUAAAAGCCAUACAUUUUGCAUCAUAUGCUUGUGCAUAUGGAGUGUGCGAACAGCCUGGCAUGUUUCACUACUCUUAACUUGUAUGUGGUAUAUGAACUUGCCCCUUCUUUUCUUGGUAUCUACUAUGGACACAACAAAUGUAACUCAGCAUUUGGUAAUGUAAACAAUUCUUGUGAGACUAUUAUGUAAGUGUGCACUUAAAAAUAGUAUCUCAGUUUACAACCAAUUCUUAUGUGUUCUGUGAAUCCAAUUUCCACUUUCGUUUCUGGUUUAGAAUUUAGACUUUUGGCACAACGUACUGAAUCGUGAACUUUAGUCACAACACAAGGGCAUGUAAUCUGUCGGGAAUAUGAAAUAGGCUCAUCCAGUCGUUGCAUAUGUGAGAUGAUUCCUAUUCUGUGCUACUUUUUACAUUUCCAUAAUGUCUCCUUGGUGUUUAUUUGAUUGACCAUAUAUUUCCUGCUGCUUUCGCGCACAUCAGGAGUUCCAAGUAGGUAUUUACAUCGUUCUUGCUACUAGUAAGUUUCUUAUAAUCUGACAAAUCUCGUGGUGAUAUGCUAAUGACUUGAGGGUUUUCGUGUUAUCAACCAAGCCCUGGACAGUUCACAAAUAUGUAUGUAUUUAUUUCAGUUGAAGCAUUAUUUCUAUUCAUUACCAAUUCACUGCAUGCAAAUAUGGGUUUGUAACAAAAACUAGGUGGCUGAGGUUCUGCCAAUAUGGUAGCAUUUAUGUAACUUAAAUUUGGUCGAGAAUGUGCCCAGAGUUUUGUUCCAGAUGCACUCUGUCGACGCAGCAAUCGAUCGAAGAAUAUCAGAAAGUCGGCUUGCUGGACACAUGGCCCUAUGAACAAGCUGGGCCUUACUUGGACGGUACCCCCUGCAGUUUGCCGAUGGACUCACCUGCGCGUGUAUCGCAGUACAGCAAUCGGUCCUGUUCUUCAUUUAGUUAGUGAGUGGAGUUACUGCAGUUAAAAGAAAUGUUGAUCUGACUUGGAGAGUGUUUAGCAUUUGUUCUUCUAUCUUUCCAGAUGCGCGAAGAAAAAAAUGUUAGUCCUUAGAAAUUAUUUGGUCCAUUUGUCACAACACUGGGAUUCUGAUGGUGAAUUACGGCAAUUUGCUGCCGAUUGUAGCCUGAUUUGUGUUCAAUGUUAGGAAAGCAAACUGAAAAAAUGUGACCGCUUUUAAUAAUUUUGUUGUAAGGAUACAGUCUGGGAAGUUUCUUUCUA